rnacentral:rRNA from 1 species
GACGAACGCUGGCGGCGUGCUUAACACAUGCAAGUCGAACGGAAAGGCCCUGCUUUUGUGGGGUGCUCGAGUGUCGAACGUGUGAGUAACACGUGAGUAACCUGCCCUUGACUUUGGUAUAACUUCAGGACACUGGGGCUAAUACCGGAUAGGAGCUCCUGCUGCAUGGUGGGGGUUGGAAAGUUUCGGCGGUUGGGGAUGGACUCGCGGCUUAUCAGCUUGUUGGUGGGGUAGUGGCUUACCAAGGCUUUGACGGGUAGCCGGCCUGAGAGGGUGACCGGCCACAUUGGGACUGAGAUACGGCCCAGACUCCUACGGGAGGCAGCAGUGGGGAAUAUUGCACAAUGGGCGGAAGCCUGAGGCAGCAACGCCGCGUGCGGGAUGACGGCCUUCGGGUUGUAAACCGCUUUCGCCUGUGACGAAGCGUGAGUGACGGUAAUGGGUAAAGAAGCACCGGCUAACUACGUG